AGAAAAUUACUCUGUCAGUAGAGUAACUUGGACCACUUCUUCAGCCGUCCAGUUGUUGAUAGACUCGCCUGGUGCACAAGGGCGGACCCAGACGUCCAAAUCACAAUCACUGUCUUCACCAUCAGUAGUAAAGACAUCUCCAUGGUUCAUCAGCCCAGCGCUGGUAAAGGUGCUCGGACCUGCUUGUACGCUUUGCUCUGCUUGGAGAGGCUCGUACCCAAUGCCGAAUUUGUCUUCUUUAA
rnacentral:lncRNA from 1 species